AAUGGGUCAGCGACUUAUAUUCUGUAGCAAGGUUAACCGAAUAGGGGAGCCGAAGGGAAACCGAGUCUUAACUGGGCGUUAAGUUGCAGGGUAUAGACCCGAAACCCGGUGAUCUAGCCAUGGGCAGGUUGAAGGUUGGGUAACACUAACUGGAGGACCGAACCGACUAAUGUUGAAAAAUUAGCGGAUGACUUGUGGCUGGGGGUGAAAGGCCAAUCAAACCGGGAGAUAGCUGGUUCUCCCCGAAAGCUAUUUAGGUAGCGCCUCGUGAAUUCAUCUCCGGGGGUAGAGCACUGUUUCGGCAAGGGGGUCAUCCCGACUUACCAACCCGAUGCAAACUGCGAAUACCGGAGAAUGUUAUCACGGGAGACACACGGCGGGUGCUAACGUCCGUCGUGAAGAGGGAAACAACCCAGACCGCCAGCUAAGGUCCCAAAGUCAUGGUUAAGUGGGAAACGAUGUGGGAAGGCCCAGACAGCCAGGAUGUUGGCUUAGAAGCAGCCAUCAUUUAAAGAAAGCGUAAUAGCUCACUGGUCGAGUCGGCCUGCGCGGAAGAUGUAACGGGGCUAAACCAUGCACCGAAGCUGCGGCAGCGACACUAUGUGUUGUUGGGUAGGGGAGCGUUCUGUAAGCCUGUGAAGGUGUACUGUGAGGUAUGCUGGAGGUAUCAGAAGUGCGAAUGCUGACAUAAGUAACGAUAAAGCGGGUGAAAAGCCCGCUCGCCGGAAGACCAAGGGUUCCUGUCCAACGUUAAUCGGGGCAGGGUGAGUCGACCCCUAAGGCGAGGCCGAAAGGCGUAGUCGAUGGGAAACAGGUUAAUAUUCCUGUACUUGGUGUUACUGCGAAGGGGGGACGGAGAAGGCUAUGUUGGCCGGGCGACGGUUGUCCCGGUUUAAGCGUGUAGGCUGGUUUUCCAGGCAAAUCCGGAAAAUCAAGGCUGAGGCGUGAUGACGAGGCACUACGGUGCUGAAGCAACAAAUGCCCUGCUUCCAGGAAAAGCCUCUAAGCAUCAGGUAACAUCAAAUCGUACCCCAAACCGACACAGGUGGUCAGGUAGAGAAUACCAAGGCGCUUGAGAGAACUCGGGUGAAGGAACUAGGCAAAAUGGUGCCGUAACUUCGGGAGAAGGCACGCUGAUAUGUAGGUGAAGUCCCUCGCGG
rnacentral:rRNA from 1 species